GUUUUUAUAGAUUUCUUACGUCUAUGUUACAAUAUUUAUACUGAAUUCUUUUGGUAAAUAAUAAUCUGGGUACCAGACCUAAGUCUGAUUAUGGCUCGGUUAACAUUCUGUUGGCUUACCCAUAUAGCCAGCAGACAUUCCUCAAACGCCAAAUAAUAAUACAGUUCACAGGAAAUAAAAAAUUACUAGCCGAGGGCUAGAAAAUCAAAUUAUUUAUCAAUUUUUAUACUGAAUUCUUUUGGUAAAUAAUAAUCUGGGUACCAGACCUAAGUCUGAUUAUGGCUCGGUUAACAUUCUGUUGGCUUACCCAUAUAGCCAGCAGACAUUCCUCAAACGCCAAAUAAUAAUACAGUUCACAGUAAAUAAAAUAUUACUAGCCGAGGGCUAGAAUAUCAAAUUAUUUAAUGAUCCUUCCGCAGGUUCACCUACGGAAA
rnacentral:misc_RNA from 1 species